CAAACAUUACUAAUCUUUCCUAUCACGAAUAAACUUGAAGUAAUCUGAACACAGUAUAUGAAUGCAAUAUCAUAUCUAACGACUAUAGAGGGCAGAUCAACGGACAAUUGAAACACAUUCAAGUUUGGUGGUAACAAUGAAGAAUACCUUACUUCGAACGAAACCAUGUGAUUCACCUAUAAUGCUUAAUAUUGUUCCUAUGUAAUGUGUAUGUCCAGUUAUGUAAUAAGAGAUAUUAAUUUUUUUAUCAGAGAAAACAGUAACAUAAUGUGUUUCAUAUAAUCUUUUGCAACAAUGAAAAGUAAAAAGUGUUAUGGCUAAAAAUCCACAUUCUGGUGAUACUAAAAAUCGAAAUAUAUAAUACAUCAAUUAUAACAAACAAAUAAAAUAAUAUAAUAUAGCAAUAAAAU